rnacentral:rRNA from 1 species
CCCUUAGAUGUUCUGGGCCGCACGCGCGCUACACUGACUGGUGCAACAAGUGUCGCUCCUUGGCCGACAGGCUCGGGCAAUCUUUGAACGCUGGUCGUGAUGGGGAUAGACUUUUGCAAUUUUUGGUCUUCAACGAGGAAUUCCUAGUAAACGCAAGUCAUCAACUUGCAUUGAUUACGUCCCUGCCCUUUGUACACACCGCCCGUCGCACCUACCGAUUGAAUGGUCCGGUGAAGCCUCCGGAUUGGCGCGCACCUCGGUGCCGCCGAGAAGUUGGCUAAACCUUACCAUUUAGAGGAAGGUGAAGUCGUAACA